AACAUCAUCAGUGUGUCUCUUGUUGCAGGUAUUUGCUAGGGCAACUUCUGCAGGGAGUGAUGGGCAUCGUUUUUUGGGCCUUCUACCUGACUGGAUGGUGGAGAUGAAGGAGAAAGAGGAGGAUGAAGAGGAAGAGGAGGAAGAGGAGACCAAAUCAGUGAUCUAAAAGUCUGAACUUUGUGUCUGGACUUUGGGCUGACUGGUUGUUUGAAAACCAUGUUGAGUAUAAUGAUCUGUAGCUCUUUUAGUGACAGCUUGAUUUGGAUACUUAUGGAUAAAACAAAUGUAAAUGAUAAGAUUUGUUAGUGACAUAAGAUGAUGAAGUCAACUCAGCCUUAAUAACAACUGUUGUUUUCUAUUAUCUUACUGUCAUCUGUGUACUCAUUCUUUAAUUUUCUCUGCUGGGAUUCUUUUGAUUGAUUGAAGUCUUUAUUUCAAAUUUGUAUUUUCUUUUCCCCCCCUUUGUUUCAGGAUAAAAAAACAAACAAAACAGAUCCACAAAAAGAAAAGUAAAUAAGACAACAGAACAUUUGAAUUUCAUGUUUGUAAAGGAGUGGGAAGAAGUGUAAAUUUAUAGAAUCCCACCCCCUCUCCGUUAAUCUGUAGUUAAUAGUUGAACAGGCUUCCUUAUUUAAUCUUCAUUUACGAAUAAAUAAAUAACGAAUCUGCAAUACACAUUUAUAUAUAUAAACCAAUAAACAUACAAAAUAUAUAAAUUAAAUACAAAUGUGUUUCUGCAAAAUAUAAUUUCAUCUAUCAUCCAUUAAAAAAAGAUAAGGACAGCACUCCAAAUUUGUGUAUUUAAUUGCCAAACGAACGUUUCGAGCCGACGCUCUUCUUCAGCGUGUAACAGGCAAUUUUUCAAACAUGCACAGGUGUAAUCAAUUUAUACUUGUCCAAGAUGGGCACACCUCCAUCGCAGUAGAGAGUCUAUCAUUGUUUGUCUAUCAUUUAUCAACCAUUGACAUAUUUGAACAUGUAUUGAUUUCUUUUAUCUUCUAUAUUCAUGUUCUUCUCCCUUAAUUAAUGAUAUACAGUUUGUAGUAAUACAUUUAAGUUAGUGUUUUUUCUCCAUUACCUAUUUACCCUUCACCAUACCUGUCAACAUAUUUACAUAUAUACCUUCAUUCCUUUUA